UACGGAGGGGGCGAGCGUUAUUCGGAAUUAUUGGGCGUAAAGGGCGCGUAGGCGGCUGUACAAGUCAAAGGUGAAAUCCCUCGGCUCAACUGAGGAACUGCCUUUGAAACUGUACGGCUUGAGGCCGGGAGGGGGUAGCGGAAUUCCCAGUGUAGCGGUGAAAUGCGUAGAGAUCCGGAAGAACACCGGUGGCGAAGGCGGCCUGCUGGGCAGUAGCUGACGCUGAUGCGCGACAGCGUGGGGAGCAAACAGG
rnacentral:rRNA from 1 species